rnacentral:rRNA from 1 species
GCGGGGGGGAUUCCUCUCGGCAGUCGAGGGGUAUAAGGAGCUUGCUCCUUAGAGACCGGCGCACGGGUGCGUAGCGCGUAUGCAAUCUACCUUAUGCGGGGGAAUAGCCCGAAGAAAUUUGGAUUAAUGCCCCAUGGUAUAUAGAAUGGGCAUCUGUUUUAUAUUAAAGCUGAGGCGGCAUAAGAUGAGCAUGCGUCCCAUUAGCUAGUUGGUAUGGUAACGGCAUACCAAGGCAACGAUGGGUAGGGGUCCUGAGAGGGAGAUCCCCCACACUGGUACUGAGACACGGACCAGACUCCUACGGGAGGCAGCAGUGAGGAAUAUUGGACAAUGGUCGGGAGACUGAUCCAGCCAUGCCGCGUGCAGGAAGACUGCCCUAUGGGUUGUAAACUGCUUUUCUACGAGAAGAAUAAGAGGUACGUGUACCUUGAUGACGGUAUCGUAGGAAUAAGCACCGGCUAACUCCGUGCCAGCAGCCGCGGUAAUACGGAGGGUGCAAGCGUUAUCCGGAAUCAUUGGGUUUAAAGGGUCCGUAGGCGGGCUGUUAAGUCAGGGGUGAAAGUUUGCCGCUUAACGGUAAAAUUGCCUUUGAUACUGGCGGUCUUGAAUGUGUGUGAAGUGAUUAGAAUAUGUAGUGUAGCGGUGAAAUGCAUAGAUAUUACAUAGAAUACCGAUUGCGAAGGCAGGUCACUAACACAUUAUUGACGCUGAUGGACGAAAGCGUGGGUAGCGAACAGGAUUAGAUACCCUGGUAGUCCACGCCGUAAACGAUGGAUACUAGCUGUUGGGGUGCAAACCUCAGUGGCUAAGCGAAAGUGAUAAGUAUCCCACCUGGGGAGUACGUUCGCAAGAAUGAAACUCAAAGGAAUUGACGGGGGCCCGCACAAGCGGUGGAGCAUGUGGUUUAAUUCGAUGAUACGCGAGGAACCUUACCAAGGCUUAAAUGUGGAUUGACGUAAUUGGAAACAGUUAUUUCUUCGGACAUUCACAGGUGCUGCAUGAUUGUCGUCAGCUCGUGCCGUGAGUGUCAGGUUAGUCCUUAUAACGAGCGCAACCCCUGGUGGUUAGUUACCAGCAUGUAAGAUGGGGACUCCUAUUCAGACUGCCCGUGCAACCGUGGAGAGUGGGGAUGACGUCAAAUCAUCACGGCCUACGUCUUGGCCUACAACGUGCACAUGAUCGGUACAGGAAGCAGCACUGGGUGACCAGGGCCGAAUCUUUAUAAACCGAU